rnacentral:rRNA from 1 species
GUGAGUAACACGUGGGUAACCUGCCCAUAAGACUGGGAUAACUCCGGGAAACCGGGGCUAAUACCGGAUAACAUUUUGAACUGCAUGGUUCGAAAUUGAAAGGCGGCUUCGGCUGUCACUUAUGGAUGGACCCGCGUCGCAUUAGCUAGUUGGUGAGGUAACGGCUCACCAAGGCAACGAUGCGUAGCCGACCUGAGAGGGUGAUCGGCCACACUGGGACUGAGACACGGCCCAGACUCCUACGGGAGGCAGCAGUAGGGAAUCUUCCGCAAUGGACGAAAGUCUGACGGAGCAACGCCGCGUGAGUGAUGAAGGCUUUCGGGUCGUAAAACUCUGUUGUUAGGGAAGAACAAGUGCUAGUUGAAUAAGCUGGCACCUUGACGGUACCUAACCAGAAAGCCACGGCUAACUACGUGCCAGCAGCCGCGGUAAUACGUAGGUGGCAAGCGUUAUCCGGAAUUAUUGGGCGUAAAGCGCGCGCAGGUGGUUUCUUAAGUCUGAUGUGAAAGCCCACGGCUCAACCGUGGAGGGUCAUUGGAAACUGGGAGACUUGAGUGCAGAAGAGGAAAGUGGAAUUCCAUGUGUAGCGGUGAAAUGCGUAGAGAUAUGGAGGA